UACGAAGGGUGCAAGCGUUACUCGGAAUUACUGGGCGUAAAGCGUGCGCAGGCGGUUUUGUAAGUCUGACGUGAAAUCCCCGGGCUUAACCUGGGAAUUGCGUUGGAGACUGCAUCGCUGGAGUGCGGCAGAGGGGGAUGGAAUUCCGCGUGUAGCAGUGAAAUGCGUAGAUAUGCGGAGGAACACCGAUGGCGAAGGCAAUCCCCUGGGCCUGCACUGACGCUCAUGCACGAAAGCGUGGGGAGCAAACAGG
rnacentral:rRNA from 1 species